UAUUACUAUUGAUAUAAUAUGUUGUAUAUGUAGCCUACAUUGCGUGUUUGCAUAAAAGAGCAGGUUAAUCCUUUUUUGAACAGGUUUGUUGAAAAAUCCUUCUCGAAAGAAUCGUAUUUCCAAAGUACUGUCAACUGACCACAUCUUCUUCCGCUUGUCAAAAUAGUUCUGCUCAGUUUGGUGUUUUAUUACGGAUUUAUUCUCAUAGUACCGUUUCAUAAUUUGAUAUAAUAAUAUAAUAAUAUGCUGAUAUUAAAAUUAAAAAAAAUAAAAAAUGUAAUAUUCGAACUGAAGGAAUUCCCGCCCUAGCGCAAGGACACAUUCUCCUCCAAGCACGCAGUGGAGCUGCUGCGCGCGCAGAAGGAAUAACUCGACCUUCAGUUUCACGGUCAAUCUUCAAUCUGAGGCGAAAAUAAGCAGAUAAGUUCAGUGAGUGCUAAAACCAUGGUCAACAUGAAAGGUCAUAGUUAACGACCACAUCACCAUCUUCUGCAACGCUCUGAUGUUUGCUUCAUACAACUGCUUGAACAUUUCAUACCCAGGAAACCAAGGAGAAACGCAAGAGAUUGUGCAAAGAUUCCUUUUUAAGAUGAACCCCGAGAAGGGAUCGAAAGUGGAGAAGACCACAUCGAGAAAGAAAUCAGCAGUCAGUCCAAAGGUUCUUUCACUGAUUAACAAGAUUGCGGACUUUGAAAGGAUGGAGUAAAACUUGGAGUGUCAGAUCUUCCUACAUUGCCUAGCAGAAAUUCUUGACAGUGUCAAAGACUUAAAAUACUUGCUGAUUAUUUGCUUUCAUGGUUGAUUUUUUUUUUUUUUUAAUGCAUCAUCUGUUGUCAAGAUGAAUUAAUCUGUUCACAGGUGGUUCAGUUUUAAGGACAAAUUAAUUCUUAUUUUUUAUUUGUUUACCAAUUUGCUAUAUUGUUGCAGUUUUGAACAAUUCUUUUGUGUGUUGUUGCAGUUAUUAAAUAUAUAUAUAUAUUAUAUACUGUUGCAGUUAUGAAAAAAAACUGAAUUGUAUGUGGUUGCAGUUGUGAUCUAAUUUAAACUUUUGGGCUUAUUUUUUUAUUGGAAUAUUGUUGCAGUUUAGCUAUAAUCUCUAUACUGGUAUAUUGUUGCAGUUUUGUACAAAGAAUAUUAGUAAAUUGCAGUCCUGAACAAACUAUUUGUAUAUUCUUGCAGAUUGGUCAAUAAAUUAUUAAAACACA